rnacentral:tRNA from 1 species
GAGGGUGUAGCUCAGUGGCAGAGCGCUGGCUUAGCAUGCACGGGGUCCUGGGUUCAAUCCCCAGUCCCUCCG